GCGUCAUGAGACUAGCUACGGUCUCAUGACAAUGGCAACUGUGUGAUUUGAAAUGUUGUGGAUUCGUAUUUAGGACCGCAGUCCUAAACUACCUACGUAUCCCCCUCGCUAUCCUGAGGAAGAAUCAGACCCCCUCGUAGUUCGACACUUGAAACUGUGGUGAUGCAUGUUCUUCUACGCCUUACACACCUACAGGUGACAUGUUGAUGCGUGUUCUUCUACGCCUUACACAACUAUGCCAUAUGCCCUAAACAACGUCUAAGGACUUACCAAAAAAUAUCUAUUUCAUGAUUUGAAAAAACUGAGAUGACUGGGUCUCAAAACUCUUUUUGUGAUUUUUGUGCUUCUUGUAUGCUACUUCCUAUCAUGGGCAUGCUGAUUUUGCUAGAGAUUCUAAAAAAACUUAGUCCUCUGGGGGACCUCUUUUUGCAAAAACUUUCUUUUAGCCUCAAAAUUUUUGAGGAAAAUUAUUCACUGAAAAGACUUCCUUAAGGUCACAAUACAAUUUCUCUCUGAUUUUUCUUUUUCUUCUCUCCCCCCAUGGUUUCUGCCUUGACUCAUUUCUCUUCCAUGAACUCCAUUCUCUGUGCCCUAACUUUUGCCUGAAAUGCUCUUUCAAGUUUUCAUUUCAACGAGCUUGCUCUAACUUUUGCCUAAGCGGCCCUUUCAGGUUUUCCACUUAGCGAGCUCUCUUUUUUUCUUUUCUUUUUCUUGUUCUUUUUCUCUUUUUUUGAAAUUAGACAAUCACCAGGAUAUUCAUAUCAAGCACCUAUUCUAUCAUGCUCACAAGACAAUAGGUUAAAUCAAAACAAUACAGUUCAAUUACUUAAUCUUUUGAUAUAUCCCUCAAGACACAAAACAUUCACAAUCAUAAUUCAAUAAAACAUAUUCCUGGUUAAUGCAAUAAAAACUUCUUUAUUUAUUCAGGUACACCAUUACUCCCUCUUACAUUUAGUUUUGCCAAAUUUCUAACCUUCCAAAGUUAGAAAUAAGCUUUAUAACCUGCCAAAUGGCCUUUUCAGAUUUUCCAUCCAGAUCUUCUCUCAUCUCUCCUUUUGCCUAGACUGCCUUUUGCAGCUUUUCAAUCUAGCAUUUUUCUUUUCUUUUCUUUCCUUCUUUGACCCUUACUUUUUCCUAGACCGCCUUUUGCAGGUUUU
rnacentral:misc_RNA from 1 species